rnacentral:lncRNA from 1 species
GAUAAUUUGUCAACCCUCCAAACUGGUUAAGAAUUGUUAGAGGUAAACUAGUUGAUUUUCGUAAACUUCAUGGGGAGACUCCACAACCCUCUACUUCCACUUUCUAACACAAUGUAGCCUGUAAGUAAAUGUAGCCCCCAGCGAUUCAUCUACACAGACACCUAGUAUGAUGUUUUGUUUUGUAUUUUCUUUUUUGAAAUUGUUUUUUUAACGUGCUUGUGUCAUGUUGAAUUGAAGGAAGCAAUGGGGGCCGAGGUAGUUUGAUGCUGGUUUCUUGGGCUAAUGUGUUUAUGUUCCCAUAAUGAUAGGAACUGUUUUCCU